rnacentral:rRNA from 1 species
UACGUAGGGUGCGAGCGUUGCCCGGAUUUAUUGGGCGUAAAGGGCGCGCAGGCGGCUCUGAAAGUCAGAUGUGAAAGCCCCGGGCUUAACCUGGGAAUUGCAUUUGAUACUCUGGAGCUUGAGUACGGGAGAGGAGAGUGGAAUUCCCAGUGUAGAGGUGAAAUUCGUAGAUAUUGGGAAGAACACCGGUGGCGAAGGCGGCUCUCUGGACCGUAACUGACGCUGAGGCGCGAAAGCGUGGGGAGCAAACAGG